rnacentral:rRNA from 1 species
GACGAACGCUGGCGGCGUGCUUAACACAUGCAAGUCGAGCGGUAAGGCCCUUUCGGGGGUACGACGAGCGGCGAACGGGUAGAGUAACACGUGGGUGACCUGCCCUCAGCUCUGGGAUAAGCCUGGGAAACUGGGUCUAAUACUGGAUAUGACUCCACGGUGCAUGUCGUGGGGUGGAAAGCCUUGUGCGGCUGAGGAUGGGCCCGCGGCCUAUCAGCUUGUUGGUGGGGUGANGGGCCCUACCAAGGCGACGACGGGUAGCCGGCCUGAGAGGGCGACCGGCCACACUGGGACUGAGACACGGCCCAGACUCCUACGGGAGGCAGCAGUGGGGAAUCUUGCGCAAUGGGCGAAAGCCUGACGCAGCGACGCCGCGUGAGGGAUGACGGCCU